rnacentral:rRNA from 1 species
UACGGGGGGAGCAAGCGUUGUUCGGAUUUACUGGGCGUAAAGGGCGCGUAGGCGGCCAGCACAAGUCAGUUGUGAAAUCUCCGAGCUUAACUCGGAACGGUCAACUGAUACUGUGCGGCUAGAGUGCGGAAGGGGCAACUGGAAUUCUUGGUGUAGCGGUGAAAUGCGUAGAUAUCAAGUGGAACACCAGUGGCGAAGGCGAGUCCCUGGACGACUCCUGACACUGAGGCACGAAAGCUAGGGGAGCAAACAGG